rnacentral:tRNA from 1 species
GCCGCUCCCGUUCGAUCCGGCAGGACGCCGGGCCCUUACCCCGGCUCUAGAGGUUCGAGUCCUCUGGGCGGCG